UGUCGAGCGAGGUUAGCAAUAACCUAGCGGCGAAUGGGUGAGUAACACGUGCUUAAUCUACCUUUUAGAUUGGAAUACCCAUUGGAAACAAUGGCUAAUGCCGGAUACGCAUGGAACCGCAUGGUUCCGUUGUGAAAGGCGCUGCAAGGCGCCACUAAAAGAUGAGGGUGCGGAACAUUAGUUAGUUGGUGAGGUAAUGGCCCACCAAGACUAUGAUGUUUAGCCGGGUCGAGAGACUGAACGGCCACAUUGGGACUGAGAUACGGCCCAAACUCCUACGGGAGGCAGCAGUAGGGAAUAUUCCACAAUGAGCGAAAGCUUGAUGGAGCGACACAGCGUGCACGAUGAAGGUCUUCGGAUUGUAAAGUGCUGUUAUAAGGGAAGAACAUUUGCAAUAGGAAAUGAUUGCAGACUGACGGUACCUUGUCAGAAAGCGAUGGCUAACUAUGUGCCAGCAGCCGCGGUAAUACAUAGGUCGCAAGCGUUAUCCGGAAUUAUUGGGCGUAAAGCGUUCGUAGGCUGUUUGUUAAGUCUGGAGUUAAAUCCCGGGGCUCAACCCCGGCUCGCUUUGGAUACUAGCAAACUAGAGUUAGAUAGAGGUAAGCGGAAUUCCAUGUGAAGCGGUGAAAUGCGUAGAUAUAUGGAAGAACACCAAAGGCGAAGGCAGCUUACUGGGUCUAUACUGACGCUGAGGGACGAAAGCGUGGGGAGCAAACAGGAUUAGAUACCCUGGUAGUCCACGCCGUAAACGAUGAUCAUUAGUCGGUGG
rnacentral:rRNA from 1 species